ACAGAAAAGGAGAAUGAAAACCCAGGAGAGAUUGAAGAGCCAGCAACAGGGAAGGUUUGCAACACCACAGACACCUCUACAGAAGAUACCCAGGUGGAGAAAGUGAACAUGCUGUCCAUGGCUGUGUUGGGACUGAGAGUCCUGCUGGCAAAAACCAUCGCCUUCAAUACACUGAUGAGCAUCAAGCUGUUUCUGUUCUGAGACAGGGGAGAAGCAAGACAACAGCAGUCUGAAGGGCAGCAGAAGAAAGCCUGUGCCAGCAGCACCACAGGUGGAACAGCCAGUGCCAGAUCUG